rfam:Tinamus guttatus contig88644, whole genome shotgun sequence.
CAAAGGCUCUUCUAAGAGCCACCCACUGUUUCUUGGAAAGGGCUG